rnacentral:rRNA from 1 species
CCUACGGGUGGCAGCAGUGAGGAAUAUUGGUCAAUGGACGCGACUCUGAACCAGCCAAGUAGCGUGCAGGAUGACUGCCCUAUGGGUUGUAAACUUCUUUUAUAUGGGAAUAAACUGUUCCACGUGUGGGUUUUUGUAUGUACCGUAUGAAUAAGGAUCGGCUAAUUCCGUGCCAGCAGCCGCGGUAAUACGGAGGGUCCGGGCGUUAUCCGGAUUUAUUGGGUUUAAAGGGAGCGUAGGCCGAGUCUUAAGCGAGUUGUGAAAGUCUGCGGCUCAACCGUAGCACUGCAGUGGAAACUGGCAGGCUUGAGUACGCUGGAGGUGGGCGGAAUUCGUGGUGUAGCGGUGAAAUGCUUAGAUAUCACGAAGAACUCCGAUUGCGAAGGCAGCUCACUGGAGUGCAACUGACACUGAGGCUCGAAGGUGUGGGUAUCGAACAGGAUUAGAUACCCGUGUAGUC